UCUGUCCCCGGAAGCCUUGCAGGUGUAGCUGCUCUGUCACACAUGCUUCAGUAGGUGGCAGAGAGGAGAGAGGCCAUGUCUACACUCAGUGUUCUGAUCUAUGAACUUCUAAAUGAUUAUUGCCCUAACAUA